GGGGUUGUAGCUCAGUGGUAGAGCAUAUGCCUCUCAUGCAUGAGGCACUGGGUUUGAUGCUCAGUACCA
rnacentral:tRNA from 1 species